rfam:Asian citrus Psyllid, Diaphorina citri - Florida Strain, whole genome shotgun sequence.
GCCUAGUUAGCUUAGUUGGUAGCGCGUCUGCCUUGUAAGCGUUAGGCGGCGGGUUUGAUUCCCGCCCGGGGCG